GCACCACAGAUGUUUCUGUACCGCAUCACCCAGGACGGACUGACACAUUUUACCCCCGGACCAGAAGAGCUCCAGAACCAGCCAGGCACUUACAUAGACCAACGUUCUGCAGAGUUCAAGAGUAUCUCUUGAACACCUGGUCGAGGGAAACCUCCGGAGAACAGUCAAGGAAACCUCUGGAGAACAGCCAAGGAAACCUCCAGAGAACAGCCAAGGAAACCUCUGUAGAACCGCCAAGACGUCUCUGCUCGGACACCAGUCUACCUCCUCGGACACCCGCCAGAGCUGCUCUUCCUCUGGGAGAAGGCCUGUCCAUCAUGG